GAAGCAGCUUUGAAAGGUGAGGCAUUGGUGAGGGCUCAAUUUGAAGAAGAUCCGUAUGGAUGUAGAGGUACACUUUGGCGUAAAAAACUUGGGCGUGAUCCCUUUCAUCGAUCAAUCCCUUAUCCCAAUGGUUGCCCUGAAAUUGAAGGUUUAUUCAGAUAUUGUGGAGCAGCUCCUUACCCAGCUUCCCUUCCUUGGGCUAAUUAAUAUUAAUCACAACUCAUGUUUUGUUCCAUAUUCCAUAGUAUAGGUAAACCAGCUAGAAAUCUUAUAGAGCCAAAGCUUGAAUACUUGUUAAUAUUUUUCCCUCUUUUGUUUCAGCUUAAAAAUAUACAUUUUUCGUGCUAUUAAUACUUGUGGGGAGUAGAUUAUA
rnacentral:misc_RNA from 1 species